rnacentral:tRNA from 1 species
AAGGCUUUAAGUUAAAAAAAACUUUUAACCUUCAAAGUUAACAAUAAAAAAAUAUUUUUAAGCUUUA